GGACGAACGCUGGCGGCGUGCUUAACACAUGCAAGUCGAGCGAUGAAGUUCCUUCGGGAAAUGGAUUAGCGGCGGACGGGUGAGUAACACGUGGGUAACCUGCCUCAUAGAGGGGAAUAGCCUUUCGAAAGGAAGAUUAAUACCGCAUAAGAUUGUAAUGUCGCAUGACAUAGCAAUUAAAGGAGUAAUCCGCUAUGAGAUGGACCCGCGUCGCAUUAGCUAGUUGGUGAGGUAACGGCUCACCAAGGCGACGAUGCGUAGCCGACCUGAGAGGGUGAUCGGCCACAUUGGGACUGAGACACGGCCCAGACUCCUACGGGAGGCAGCAGUGGGGAAUAUUGCACAAUGGGGGAAACCCUGAUGCCAGCAACGCCGCGUGAGUGAUGAAGGUCUUCGGAUUGUAAAGCUCUGUCUUUAGGGACGAUAAUGACGGUACCUAAGGAGGAAGCCACGGCUAACUACGUGCCAGCCGCCGC
rnacentral:rRNA from 1 species